rnacentral:rRNA from 1 species
UGAAAUGCAUAGAUAUGACGCAGAACUCCGAUUGCGAAGGCAGCUUACCAACACUUUACGGACGCUGAGGCACGAAAGCGUGGGUAUCGAACAGGAUUAGAUACCCUGGUAGUCCACGCAGUAAACGAUGAAUACUAAUUGUUCGGGGGGCAACCCCUGAGUGAUACAGCGAAAGCGUUAAGUAUUCCACCUGGGGAGUACGCCGGCAACGGUGAAACUCAAAGGAAUUGACGGGGGCCCGCACAAGCGGAGGAACAUGUGGUUUAAUUCGAUGAUACGCGAGGAACCUUACCCGGGCUCAAACGUUGGGGGAAUGCUCCUGAAAGGGAGCAGCCAGCAAUGGUCGCCAACGAGGUGCUGCAUGGUUGUCGUCAGCUCGUGCCGUGAGGUGUCGGCUUAAGUGCCAUAACGAGCGCAACCCCUGCGUCCAGUUACCAUCAAGUCAUGUUGGGGACUCUGGACGGACUGCCGGCGCAAGCCGUGAGGAAGGCGGGGAUGACGUCAAAUCAGCACGGCCCUUACGUCCGGGGCGACACACGUGUUACAAUGGCGUGGAACAGCGGGAAGCCACCUGGCGACAGGGAGCGGACCCCUAAAACACGUCUCAGUUCGGAUUGGAGUCUGCAACUCGACUCCAUGAAGCUGGAUUCGCUAGUAAUCGCGCAUCAGCCAUGGCGCGGUGAAUACGCUCCCGGGCCUUGUACACACCGCCCGUCAAGCCAUGGGAGCCGGGAGUGCCUGAAGUACGUAACCGGAAGGAGCGUCCAAGGGUAACACUGGUGACUGGGGCUAAGUCGUAACAAGGUAGCCGUAA